AAGUUCAGAUGUGAAAGACCCGGGGCGUCAACCUCGGAAUUGCAUUUGAAACUAGGCAGACUAGAGUACUGUAGAGGGGGGUAGGGAAGUUUCAGGUGUAGCGGUGAAAUAGCGUAGAGAUCUGAAGGAAUACCGGUGGCGAAGGCGGCCCCCUCGGACAGAUACUGACACUCAGAUGCGAAAGCGUGGGGAGCAAACAGGAUUAGAUACCCCUGGUAG
rnacentral:rRNA from 1 species